rnacentral:rRNA from 1 species
AGUGGCAGACGGGUGAGUAACGCGUGGGAAUCUACCCAUCUCUGCGGAAUAGCUCUGGGAAACUGGAAUUAAUACCGCAUACGCCCUACGGGGGAAAGAUUUAUCGGGGGAUGGAUGAGCCCGCGUUGGAUUAGCUAGUUGGUGGGGUAAAGGCCUACCAAGGCGACGAUCCAUAGCUGGUCUGAGAGGAUGAUCAGCCACAUUGGGACUGAGACACGGCCCAAACUCC